UUCUAGAAGCUAGUCAGCUGCUCUCUAAUUCCUGCAUAGGAAUGCCUGGCCCAGAGCAACCUUUGUAAUGGGUCCUUCUCUCAAAGGCAUGGUUGAGACCAGAGAGAGCCAUCCCAUGGGUCACAGCUGGAGAAAAUGGGCCCAUGGCAUCCUGUUCAAGGUGAAGCUUGGGAUGCAUUUUUUCAGGUCUGCUGGAGUUUGCUGGAGGUCCACUGCAGACCCUGUUUGCCUGGGUAUCACCAGCGGAGGGUGCAGAACAGCAAAGAUUGAUGCCUGUUCCUUCCUCUGGAAGCUUCCUCCCAGAGGGGCACCUAUCAGAUGCCAGCCAGAGCUCUCCUCUAUGAGGUGUCUCCCAGACAGGAUACACGGGGGUCAGGGACCCACUUGAGGAGGCAGCCUGUCCCUUAUCAGAGCUCAAACGCCGUGCUGUGAGAUCUGCUGCACUCUUCAGAGCUGUCAGGCAGAGAUGUUUAAGUCUGCUGAAGCUGUGCCCACGGCUGCCCCUUCCCCCAGGUGCUCUGUCCCAGGGAGGUGGGGGUUUUAUGUAUAAGUCCCUGACUGGGGCUGCUGCCUCAUCUUCAGAGAUGCCCUGCCCAGGAAAGAGGAAAUCUACAGAGGCAGUAUGGCUGUAGCAGCCUGGCUGAGCUGCAGUGGGCUCCACCCAGUUCGAACUUCCGGGCAGCUUUGUUUACACUGUGAGGGUAAAACCGCCUACUCAAGCCUCAGCAGUGACAGGCGCCCCUCCCCCAACCAAGCAGGUGAUUUCUGCGUUUCCAACUGAGGUACCUGGUUCAUCUCAUUGGGACUGGUUGGACAGUGGGUGCAGCCCACGGAGGGCGAGCAGAAGUAGGGUGGGGCAUUGCCUUUACGGGAAGCUCAAGGGGUCGGGGGAUUUCCCUUUCCUAGCCAAGGGAAGCCGUGAGAGACUGUACCCGGAGGAAAGGUACACUCUGGCCCAGAUACUGCAUUUUUCCCAGUCUUCACAACCGGCAGACCAGCAGAUUCCCUGUGGCGCCUGGCUCAUCAGGUCCAACCCCCACGGAGCCCAGCAAGCUAACACCCAUUGGCUUGAAAUUCUCACUGCUAGCUCAGCAGUCUGAGCUCGACCUGGGAUGCUCGAACAUUGUUUUCUACGGGGGGAGUGCAUCCUCAGCCUCCAACCACUGACUUAAAAACAAAAACCAUAAACAUAGUGAGUCUCGUAUAAAAACAACUUCCCAAGACGUUGGUUCAACAAGAUGUUAAUUGGUGGUGUAAGAGAAAGGAGUUAGUCAAAUACACUUGUGAAACAUUGCAAAUGACUGGAAGAUUCAUAAAGGUUCUAUGCUUUGCAGUAAACUCAUUUCUCUCAGUUAUUUUCCCCAAUCUAGAGUGUGGUUGCCUCUUGCUGACAGAGAAAUUCAGUGUCUGCUCCUUUGAUUCAGGUGCAACUUGAGGACAACUGCCCCUGGGGAGGAGAAACUGGUUCCAGUUAGGGCUGGCUUUUUACUCUCUUCCUGGGCAGGCAGGACUGCCUGACUAGUAUGUCUUUAACUGUAAGUAAGUUUUGGGUAUCUUUGUAUGUUGAAAUCCUAGUAUAGAGUUUUAUGAAUAUCCCUUAUUGGGUUAGUGAAGCUUGUUCCCAUGGCAGCCUUGGACAACUCUGAUCACAAGUGUGAAUGGUAACAAAGUGAGACCAUGAAAGGGAGCUUUCCUGGCUCUGACAAGCAGUUACUUCCCAGAAAUGCUUGAGCUCAACUUCUCUCCAAGAACGCCUGAGUUUUGUAAGCAUAUUCCAAAGACAUUUUAUAGCUUCCUUAUUACAUAUUUUACUUAGUUAAAUAUUAAAUGUCCUGACUCAGGAAAUUCUUCCAGGAUGUCAUAAAAAAAGACCUUUAGAUACUUUCUUAGAUGGCACAGCAGGCACCCCAAACUAAAAUGUCAUAAAUGUGAAAUGAAGUGGCAGAAGUAGAAACCAUAUCAUAAAAACACGGAAACUAAAAAUGACACGAUGUAUCCAUAGUAUGAAAGAGCACUAACUGAACGUGGGUGCUUUGGGUUUGAUUCUAAGUAGUGGUGAUCUCUAUACUUCAGUUUCUGUACCUGUGAAGUGGGGAUAAGAGUGUCUACCUCAUAGGGUGGUGCUAAAUAAAGUACACCAAGCACUUAGUAUAGCUUCUAGUACGAAGAAGAUACUUGAACAUAGCUGUUAAUUAUUUUAAAGAGAAGGUUAAUGGUCUUGGAAAGAGAUGAAUCGGAGGAUUCAGAUUUGUUAGAUGGAGCUCUUGCCCAUUAAAGGAGUUUACAAGUUUCUAGCUGUUGAGUUCUAUGCAUGAGUUUUCUUCUCUUUUUAAAUAGAUUUUUAUGUUUUGAGAGAAAGAUAUUGGAAGUUGAAAGGCUGACACAGUAGACCAUCACAUUACUAAAUAUUUGUUGAAUUGGAGAAGAUGAUUAAAAGCACAGGCCUUUCGGGCAUAGUAGCUCAUGCUUGUAAUCCCAGAAUUUUGGGAGGCCAAGGCGGGAAGACUGAGCCCAGAGGUUCGAGACCAGCUGGGCAACAUAGGGAGACCCCAUCUGUACAAAUAAUUAGCCGAAUGUGGUGGCACAUGCCUGUGGUCCCAGCUACUUGGGAGGAUCGCCUGAGCCCUGGAGUUUGAGACUGCAGUAAGGCAUGAUCGCACCACUGUUCUCCAGUCUGGGUGACAAAGUGAGGCACUGUCUCAAAAUAAAAACGCACAGGCCUUUGACUCAGAGUUCCAAUGAUGGCUCCUCCAAGGAAGAAUUGUGUGACCUUGGGCGACCUAGUGAACCAUACUGAGCCAGUCUUGUUAGAAAGGGUGCUCAGAGUGGAAAGGUAUGAUCUCGUAGGAAAAAAGACAUCAAGAUUAGUGGGUAGGAAUAAAACCAAGUUACUAAAUCCAGAAAGAACUGCAAUCAGCUAGGCCCUGGGAGAAAAGCAAAACAGGGAAAGAGGGCAGAAAUGCAGAAAGGCUCCUCUGGUCUUUCUUUUGAUCACAAAAGUGAGGGGUGCCAGAAACACAGAGUUAAAUUGUCCACCAAAGACCCACCGUUAAUUCUCUGCUCUUGAUUGCCCUGGAAACCAGAAUCCAGCCCUACUGCCAGUGAAAUCUUAACUGGGACACCACCUAUAAAAGAAAUGGUAGCAACUAGAGGCACAGGCUGACUUAGUGUGACCACCUCCACUCAGGAGGGUCUGGGGAUGAGUUCAGGAGGGAGUCACAAAGAGAAGGAAUUUAGAUUAUGUAAAAGCCAUGCUCUAUGGAAGCCCAUGGAGUUUGUAAUUCAUAGAUGCACAUCCGUAUUUUCUCUCACCCAUUUUUGUGAACACUUCUACCUGGCAGGAGCCCGCUCUCACUCUGGUGCUCUGGGUAAGCUGCUGAGACAGCUCUGUGCAGAGACCUCCAGCCCCCUUGAGUUGAGGCCACAUGACUAAGCUCUGGCCAGUAGAAUACUGGUGGACAUGGUGUGCACACAGGGCAGGUCCUUUAAGAAGGAAACUGCACGAUGCUUUUCUACCUCCAUUGGGCUGGACUUGGUAGUAGUGGUGAGUCAGGUUUGAUUACAAUGGGCUGGGACCACAUGUUGGGAGGUCAGUGGGUUGGCAUCCUUCAUGGUUGCGGAGCAAGCUUAUUCAAGAAGGCUUCACCCUUUGCCCUCUCCACAUGUCUCUGUAUUGCUUCACAAAACACUGUGGAAGAGAUGGCCCUUUUGCAUGUCUUUAAGAAGCCAGUUGGCCAGGUACGGUGGUUCGUGCCCAUAAUCCCAGCACUUUGGGAGGCUGAGGCAGGAGGAUCGUUUGAUCCCAGGAGUUUGAGAUCAGCCUCUCUCUGUCUCACAGACGGCCAUCAAUAGAGUGGAUACCACCCUUAUACAGACCUCUGUCUCUCUCUCAUCUACAACUAAAGCUUGAACACCUCUGCCCUAGGGUACACAGUCAGGCCUUCUCAUUUAGUUCCUGGUUACCUAAAACCUUUGAAGGGAUGUCACAUUUUUAUACUGUGUUUGAUACUGCUAUACACGUUGCUGUUUGUGCACAUGAACACCCCUUAUUUCAAACAGGAUGGCAAGUUCCAGAAGGUGGGGGUGGCCCCUUGAUCUUCUGUAUGUUGUUUCCUAGUGCCUCCUGAAGUGGUCAUAUUUGCUUAACUGCACAGUGAACAAAAUGGCAGGCCAGGCUAGAUCCAGAGACUGGAGGAAACCCAAGUUAGUGUCUUAAAGGGAAAAAAGACAUUUUUCUGAAGACUUUUUAAUUAGGAAAAAAAGGGAAAUGUUUUUAUCCCAGAUUUUUCUGGUAGUCCCCAUGUUGAAUUUCUAAAUAUAUACAAAUAAGUUUAAGAUAAACCACUAUUUCUCCAAACUUUUCUUAAUAGUGUCAGCAUUUCAGCAUCUCUACGCAGAUCUAAGUCUCCUUCCCCUGUGGGUCACUCACCUAUUUCAGCACCAUUUGUUGGGCAUCUCCUUGAGCCUGGCGCUGGCUGGGCACACGAUGUAGGCGCUAAGGUCUGUGAUUUCCAUGGAUGAGGGUGCUAUUCGUGGGGGAUUUAACUCAGUCCCUGUUUUGUGGCCUAGAGCCCGAUGGUUCCCAGUUAUACACAAGUGUAAAAUGCCAAUCAGGAGGAAAAACAAAGGCUUGUCCCAGCCAGCCAGGGGCUUAUGAUAACAAGGGAAGAUGGUCCUGGUGUUCCUGCCCUGAGAAAGCAGCCUGAGUGCUGGUGGCUGUGGGGACUCCAGCAUGCUCCUCUGUCCCAGUUCUUGUGGUGUCUUCCUCCCACUGUGGGGAGUCCAGGAAUGUGGAAGUACUUUGUAAAAUAUAUAGAGACCACUGGUGUCAACAGGAUUACCUUUCCUCGAUUCACCGCAUCAUGGCUUUACUUUCCUGUCUAGUCACAACAUGGAACUGAAGUAGCCUUUUAACAUUAUUUGUUACUGUUACAGAAUGGAGUUUGCUCCCUGUUCUUGAAGUAAAACAAUUAAACACCGUAUCUUGGUUUCAAAUCUAGAUCCAUUUUUUUUCCUUAUAUGUAAGCCCUGAUAAUUUUUUCCCAUGACUUGAGGAUCCUGAAAGACUCAAAGGUGUAUGCUGCUCAAACUCUUUAAGUUCCCAGUAGCUUAAGAAUGGCUAUGGCACCCAGAGGAGGAGAGGUAGAGAAAUGGCAGUCUCUACUUACAACCAUUCCAUUAUUGAUGGGCAUUACACUGUUUCCAACUUUUCACUAUUAUGGCAAGAAAACAUUGUUUUAGUUUGUUAGGGCUGCCGUGACAAAGUACCACAAACUGAGUGGCUUAAACAGCGAAAUGUAUUGCCUCACAGUUUUGGAGGUUGGAAGUCCAAGACCAAGGUGGGCAGGGUUGGUUCCUUGUGAGGGAGAAUGUGUUCCAGGCCUCUCUCCUGGGCUUGUGAAUGGCUGUCUUCUCCCUGCCUUUUCACAUGGUCUUUCCUCUGCAUGUUGGUCUCUGUGUCCAAAUUUCCCCUUUUCAUCACAACACCAUUAUAUUGGAUUAAGACCCACUCUAAUGACUUCAUUUUAAUUAAUUUUGUUUGUUUGCUCCAUAAAGACUCUGUUUCCAAAUAAGGUCAUAUUGUGAGGUACUGGUAGCUGGGACUCCAGCAUCUUCUUUGGAGGCACACAAUUCAACCCAUAACAAAUGUCAUAAAAGAAGAAGGUGUUCGCCGAUUCCUUUAUUUAUUUAGGAGGUGGGGGCAGGACGCGGAGUAAGUUUCCUAUAGGGAAAGAGUUGAGAAGAGUCUGCAGGGACUGAGCUAGACAGCAUUGACACUCCGUAGUUGGAAAAAAGCAGGGCACAUCUGUAAGUACCUGGUGUGAGUUUUGUAAGAAAACCUACCUUAUGAAUGAGUACAGUGGAAUACUACUUAGUACAUUCAUACAUGUUUCUACCAUCUCCAGAUUUUUAUAUAUACAGUAUAUGAUCUGUUUUUAUAAAUGUA